rnacentral:rRNA from 1 species
UACGGGAGGCAGCAGUGGGGAAUAUUGCACAAUGGGCGCAAGCCUGAUGCAGCCAUGCCGCGUGUAUGAAAAAGGCCUUCGGGUUGUAAAGUACUUUCAGUCGUGAGGAAGGUGUUAAGGUUAAUAACCUUAGCAAUUGACGUUAGCGACAGAAGAAGCACCGGCUAACUCCGUGCCAGCAGCCGCGGUAAUACGGAGGGUGCGAGCGUUAAUCGGAAUUACUGGGCGUAAAGGGCACGCAGGCGGUUAAUUAAGUUGGAUGUGAAAUCCCCGGGCUUAACCUGGGAAUGGCAUUCAAGACUGGUUAGCUAGAGUCUUGUAGAGGGGGGUAGAAUUCCGAUGUGUAGCGGUGAAAUGCGUAGAGAUGUGGAGGAAUACCGGUGGCGAAGGCGGCCCCUGGACAAAGACUGACGCUCAUGUGCGAAAGCGUGGGGAGCAAACAGGGAUUAGAUAC